GAACGGGGACACAGCCACGGUGGCGACCCACAGCCCUGGUAAUCGCUCGCUCCAUGCCCGCAGGGAUGUUUGUGGGGGUGGCGUCAGCCCAGGGAGCGAACCCCUGCAGGACUCCCGAGGAGACCUUUGAGUCGGGCGGGCUCGACGUGCAGGGCACGGCGGGCUCUCUGGAUGAGGAGGAGGAAGAGGAGGAGCGAUUCCACACUGUGCUGGAGCAGCUGGGGGUGGCCCCGGUCCUGGGCGAUUCCCGCCCGCCCUCCAGGCAGCGGGCUGUGAGGACGCUCUGGGCCAGGCUGCAGCGCGAGCGCCCCGAGCUGCUGAGCUCUUUCGAGGAUGUUCUGAUACGCGCGUCGGCCUGCCUGGAGGAGGCGGCCCGGGAGCGCGACGGCCUGGAGCAGGCGCUGCGGAGGCGCGAGAGCGAGCACGAGAGGGAGGUGCGCGCUCUGUACGAGGAGACGGAGCAGCUUCGGGAGCAGAGCCGGCGCCCGCCGAGUCAGAACUUCGCCCGCGGGGAGCGGAGAAGCCGUCUGGAGCUGGAGCUGCAGAGCCGCGAGCAGGACCUGGAACGCGCGUGCCUGCGGCAGCGGGAGGUGAGCACCCGGCCCCUGCCCUGUCCCCACGGUCACCCGUGCACUCUCCCCCUGUGCCUUAGCGUCCCCGGGUUGUCGGGAGCCUGGGGCACGCGCAGCACCCCGGGGAAGAGGGGGCGUUCCUCGCCGGUCUCCAUCCUUCCACCCUCCAGUUAGAGCAGCAGCUGCACGCCCAGGCUGCGGAGCACCUGGAGGCACAGGCCCAGAACUCCCAGCUGUGGCGGGCGCACGAGGCGCUGCGAACGCAGCUGGAGGGGGCGCAGGAGCAGAUCCGCAGGCUGGAGAGCGAAGCACGAGGCCGCCAGGAGCAAACCCAACGGUGCCGUGGGACGGGGCUGGGCGGGCCCCGGUGCGUGUCCCGGGGGCGGGGCCGACGGGCGCUCAGGUCUGGGCCACUUUCAUCCCCAUCUCAAGUCCCGGGCCCGCCCCGUGGGAGGGAGGAUCUUCUAGGGGGUCCUGGGGCUCCCCAAGGAGCCUUCCUGCAGCCGGGUCACCACCUCCCAUCCACAGAGACGUGGUCGCCGUCUCCAGGAACAUGCAGAAAGAGAAAGUCAGCCUGCUACGGCAACUGGAGCUGCUCAGGGAGCUGAAUACACGGCUGCGGGAUGACAGGGACACCUGCGAGGCCAGGCGGGCGGGCAGCAGCUGCAGGAAGGCUCUGACAACAGCCCGCCUGCCUGGGCCCACCUGCUGCUGCUGCUGUUGCUGGGCUCGGCCCCCCAGACGCGGCUCUGGCCACCUUCCCAGUGCCCGGUGACCAGCCCCGAGUGACUCACGGAGCAUGAGCUAGAAGCUGCCCUUGCAGGAGGCUUGUCAUGGGUCGGGGGUGCCCACUCAGGAUGCAGGCUCUCCCCAGGGGGCCCCAGGCUCGCCUGACUGAAGACAUGAAGGACCUAGCCUAGGAGUGGUCAGGGUCCCGGGAGUGGCCAGGGUCCCGUGUGUGCCCUCUGCCAGUCUUCGCUCUGUCCCCGUUCAAUCAACCCCAUCUCAGUUCAGCAGAAAACCCCCUCGUCAAAUAAAACCCACUGACUGC
rnacentral:sRNA from 1 species